UACGUAGGGUGCAAGCGUUGUCCGGAAUUAUUGGGCGUAAAGAGCUCGUAGGCGGUCUGUUGCGUCGGCUGUGAAAACCUGGGGCUCAACCCCGGGCCUGCAGCCGAUACGGGCAGACUAGAAUUCGGUAGGGGAGACUGGAAUUCCUGGUGUAGCGGUGAAAUGCGCAGAUAUCGGGAGGAACACCAAUGGCGAAGGCAGCUCGCUGGGACGUGACUGACGCUGAGGCGCGAAAGCGUGGGGAGCAAACAGG
rnacentral:rRNA from 1 species